CCUUACGGUUGUAUCGACGGCUCCCUUCGGGGAUUAAUAGGGAAUGCGGUGCGGGGAUUGCCCCUAUGCCGCGGCUGCCCCCGCAACUGUAAGCGGCGAACCUCUCGUCUCAGGCCACUGGGGAAUCUCGGUCCCGGGAAGGCGACGUAGAGGUAACGACCCGCGAGCCAGGAGACCUGCCGUCAGCCGUGGUCACAC
rnacentral:ncRNA from 2 species